CAUGGCUUGCUGGUGGGAGAGGUAAUACAGGAUACCUUCAAGCACCCACACUGUAUUUCGUUCAGGAAGAUAACCAGAUCUCUUAAGCUUUUCUAGCCAGUCAUCAUCUCUUAUAUCAGCUGCCACUCUAAUUAAAGAUUUAGCCAUCACUGCCAGUUUCUCGUAUUCAUUUGUGGAGCUCAUUGCCAGUUGCAGAAGCGCAGCUUUCAUCUGCAGGAGCUUUGGGAAAUCAACCUCAAAAACUUUGCUCUCAUUCAAGCAGCUCAGCCUGUACGCCCUUGCAUCCAUGCCUACAGAUAAAACAAACAUACAGCUCAGCUAUUGGGCCAAUAAGUGCUAAUUACUCCGUGGAUGGGCCAUAAUUCAGUGACACACUGAUUGCACCACUCUAAACUUUUCAUAUGAAGAAGUGAGAAAGAACAGUAACAUUACCUGCACCAAGUAGAACAACUUGGGUGUCUUCGCCGUUGAAGGAUUUGAGAGCUGCUUCAAUCUUUGAAUCAAACCAUAAUGUGCGGACAGCAAGAAUCACCCCAGAUAUUUCACGUGCAUUAUUGAGAUGGUCUUUCUUCAUCUUCUCAUGAAGACUUGUUAAAUACUUCUCUCCUGCAAGUACAUCUGCAACAGGAUCGUGUAUGACAUGCUUCC